rnacentral:tRNA from 1 species
UUCCUGACAGUCCAGUGGUUAGGAUGCUGCACUUCCACUGAGGGGGCGCAGGUUCAAUCCCUGGUUGGGAAC